CAGAAAAUAGUUUAAUUAAAACAAAAACUUUGGGAGUUUUAGACUUAGGCAUUCUAAUUUUCUGA
rnacentral:tRNA from 1 species